rnacentral:rRNA from 1 species
UGGUGUGUACUGGCUUUACUGAUUCCUCCUUCUUGAAGAACUGUAAUGUCAUUAAUUUGGUGUUGCAGGGAAACAGGACUGUUACUUUGAAAAAAUUAGAGUGCUUAAAGCAGGCUAACGCUUGAAUACAUUAGCAUGGAAUAAUGAAAUAGGACGUUCGAUCCUAUUUUGUUGGUUUCUAGGAUUGACGUAAUGAUUAAUAGGGAUAGUUGGGGGCAUUAGUAUUCAAUUGUCAGAGGUGAAAUUCUUGGAUUUAUUGAAGACUAACUACUGCGAAAGCAUUUGCCAAGGAUGUUUUCAUUAAUCAAGAACGAAAGUUAGGGGAUCGAAGACGAUCAGAUACCGUCGUAGUCUUAACCAUAAACUAUGCCGACUAGGGAUCGGAUGAUGUUAAUUUUUUAAUGACUCAUUC